rnacentral:sRNA from 1 species
CUUGCGCGCGCUCGCUCGCUGGCGCCGAGGAAAACGUUGCGCAGGUUCAAAAAUGGAACGUCGGCGGCGUGAGGGAGCGCGAGGGGGUGUGCGCGCGUGCGCGUGCGCGCCCGGACGAGGGUGACGGGGACCCCGCCAGCCCCAGCAUCGCGCGCCGCAGCCGCGGCCCCGCAGCUCCGCCCCCGGCCCGGCCCGGCCCCGGGCCCGCUCGCCCGCCGCCCCGCAUGGAGCUGUCAGCCAUCGGCGAGCAGGUGUUCGCCGUGGAGAGCAUCCGGAAGAAGCGCGUGCGGAAGGGUAAAGUCGAGUAUCUGGUGAAGUGGAAAGGAUGGCCCCCAAAGUAAGCUCCUUCAUGUGUGUGUGUCUGUCUGUCUGCCUACCGACCCAUGCAUUCCUCCACCUGCCUUUUGCCCCCUCCCCUGCCUAGCUUUUAGCUCCAGCUACUCUUGUAACUGGACAGCUGACCUUGAUUUAAUCAUCAUCUUCUCUGGGCCUCAGUUUCCCCCUGGACCACAGGAGGGUCAAGGUGGGUCUCCAGCUUCUCUUCUCACCCUGCCCUCCUGAGUGUUGAGCUCCUCUGCUAGUUGGAGCUUCUGCUCUCCCUCCUCCCCUCCCUGUGGCUUUUCUUGGCAACUGGGAGGUAAAGGCCCAGCAUCCGGGCUACUGGAGAUGGCUUCUGGAGAGGAGGAGGGGCCCCCAGCUGCUUUAAGCACAGUGCUGCAUGAGUCCUCAGUGCUGUGUGGCCAGGGGCAGAGCCUGAAUCCCCCUCACCUCUAGACGGCACUUUCCAGUCUAUAGAGCAGGUUCCCAUACAGCUUUGUAAGGUAGGUGUGAUCAGGCGCUCUCAAGGUGAGGAAACAGGCUCAGAGAGGGUAAGCAGCUUGCCUUAGGUCCACAGCAAGUGGAGGCAGAGUUGGGACUUGAACUAGGCCUUCUCCUUUUCAGGUGUCUCCUCUGUGCCUUCCCAGCCUCCCAUCUCAGAGUUGGGAGGCAGGGAGCUGCAUCUGAGACCUCCCAGCUUCUCCACCUCUCCUGCUGAGGCCCCAUCAGGAACCCACCAAUGCCCUCCAGCAGGGAGUUGUUGGGAGGGGGAGGGAAUGAGCUAGUCGUGGGGCCUCCCCAUUGGUCUGUGGGUGCCCCACCCCCUGCCCCGCCUCCCGGAGACUGACUCCUGGAAACCCCCUCUGCCCAGAGCUGCUGCUGUUGGGCAGGGACUUUUUGCUGUGCUGGUGGGGGCUGACCUGGUAUCGGGUCCUGUGGGCAUUCUGGGGUGAUGGUGGGGAGGGACAGCAGAGAGGAAGACAGCCCACAGUGCCUCAGCUUCCCUCUCUGCAAAAUGGGUUCAGAAACCCAGGCCCUGCACUCGUCUCACAGGCUUGGUGGCCCUGUGGGAUGAAAGGCCUGGGCACAUGUUCUGGGUGACCUGUGGAUAUCCUGAUGACAGGGGUUGGGAGCUGGCAGGCCGAGAAUACACUCCACCCCUCACACCAACCCCCACUUCAGUUUUCCCUUCCCGAAUAUUCUGAGGGCUGAAGGAGAAUCCCUCCCCCGCCACACCCAGCUGCUAGAAGGUGGGCUUCCAGCCUGAGUGAAGGGGGCAGUAAAGGGAGUGACGAUGCCCAGAGUGGGCAGCAGGAGCACCGCCUCCCUGGGCGCGCACACCCCUGCCUCUCUCGCUUCGCACCAGGAAGCUGUGGCCACCAGCUGUUAGCCUUCAGGACACUAUUGGCUAUUUUUCCUCCUCUGGAGACUCCACUCUUUGGAAGAUUCUCUUCUGUAAACAGAGGCCGUUAUGAAUGAAAAGUUCCUUCCCCCACUUUGAUUGAUCCUGGAUGUGAAUCCAUCUGCCCACUGCAGCUCGUCAGGAGGGAAGGAAGGAGGCUCCCAGAGCAGAGGCCCUCGAUGCUUCUGUUGCGCUGUGCCCCUAGCCUGGGGACCCAUUUGUUUCUUAACAUGCUGAGGCCACCAGAUGGGCCCUCAUGGCUGCCUCUUCUCACCCCCCUCCACUUUGGUCCUGGGUUCUAGGCCUGGCUGCCCACCCGACAGGCAUGAGCCCUGGGACAGGGGCCCACCAUGGCUGGGUCUCUGCUUCCUCGUCUUCGAGUUGAGAUGGUGAAGCCUCCUUUGCAGGCUACUGUGAGGGUGAGAGGGUGGAUGUAAUUGAGCGAAUGCAUGUUCAGCCCAGUCCAAGUGCUUUAGUAAACAUUUGGUUUUAAGAUUAAGUUAGAUAGAUAGCCUAGCUGUACUUUUUGUUUUCCCCAGUCAGGAAAGGGACCUAAGGGAUUCCCUUCUUCUCAGGAGUGCAAAGUAUCCUUAGAAAUCAUUUAGGCCAGUCCUCUGAUUUUUCAGAUGGGGAAACUGAGGCCCAGAGAGGGUUGGUCCUUAAAAAAAUAUAACUGCCAACCCCAUGCACUGUGGUGCCCACUUCAUGCCAUCCACAGUGCCACCACGGUCUGGGAGUGAGGCAGGUAUGGCUGCUAACCAUCCCCACCUCACUUGGGGGAAACAGAGGUUCACUCUGGGGGAGAAGCAGGGGAGCCAGCUCUGUCUUCCCCUCCUCGGGGGCCCUGCUUGGAGAAAAAGCUGAGAAAGAGGGUGGGGGGUGGGGAGUUAGGCAGGCUGUGUCCUCCAGGCCUGGGAGCCUUGGCUGGGCAGUGCCGGCCUGGGCGGGGUAGUCAUUCUCCUGCUCAGCAUCUGCCCUGUAGGUGGGGAGACUUACAUUCUUCUCAGUAACAGUAACAGGAACCAUGAUUUAAGUGGACACUCUGGGAUGGGCAUGGUGGUUCAUGCCCGUAAUCCCAGCAUUUUGGGAGACUGAGGUGGGCGGAUCACUUGAGGUCAGGAGUUCCAGACCAGCCUGGCCAACAUGGCAAAAACCCCGUCUCUACCAAAAGCAUAAAAAAUUAGCCAGGCAUGGUGAUGUGCGCCUGUAAUCCCAGCUACUUGGGAGGCUGAGACAGGAGAAUCGUGCCACUGCACUCCAGCCUGGGCAACACAGUGAGAUGCCGUCCCCCAC